rnacentral:rRNA from 1 species
UAGAUCUCAAAUCAGGCAGGAUUACCCGCUGAACUUAAGCAUAUCAAUAAGCGGAGGAA